UUUUUUGGAUAUCAAGAAACAUGUAAGUUGGUUUUAAAUGAGUGCACAUACACUUGUUUAUGGAAAACUAUGAAGAGCAAAAACAAUAUAGCUUUAAUAUAUUAAUUUAAUAUUUUAGGUGCCUGUUAUAAUUGAGGAGGACAGGAGAUGCCACAGGGGUGAUCAUUUUGACCUCUUCUCUUUUUGGACCCGGUUUCACACUCAGGUAAUGGAGCCAUACUUGGACCAUCUCAUUGAGCACCUUGAGAGGAGAUUCCCACAGAUGAACAUCCUGGGUGCAAUUUACAUACUCAGCCCACAAGCAGUGGAGAGUGGAGCAGUGGAGAUGGUGACUUUCAAGCAAACUUACAACUGCUUGCCCAAAAAUUUCCAACUGUGUAUUGCGGAGCAGCACUACAAGAAUGGACCAGCUUCAAGGUUCAUGUGGGCCAGGGCAUCUUUAAGGAUAAGUCACAGUUGGAGGUUAUGCAGGAGCUGGUCUCUGACUCUGAUGAGCUGAAACUCCUGUACCCAAACUUGGCCCAGCUCUCUGCCAUUGCACUGACAAUUCCUGUGUCAAGUGCCAACUGCGAGAGAGAUUUCUCGGCUAUGAACAGGACAGACCUACAGAACAGGCUGCAGGGGAAAAGCCUAACUGCCUGCCUCCGCAUCAAAAUAAAUGGCCCAGACGGAUUGCUUGCACUGAUCCAACCUGCACCAUGUGCAGCAAAAAGUAGAAGAGAUCACACAGCAUACCUCUUCAGCCUCUGAGUUCCCUGGUUUUACCCCUUGGCUAUGUUUAUACUUUUUUUAUUUAUGUUAAUUUAUUUUACUUUUAAAUGUGACCAGCAAUGGCUUGUUUUAAGAUUCACUAGGAUUUAACUUAAGUGAAAACAGUUGAUAUUAUUUAUUUUAAUUGUGUUUUUUUGUAAGACUCUAGUCU